AUGUGGUUUAAUUCGAAGCAAUGCGAAGAACCUUACCAGGUCUUGACAUCCCGAUGCUAUUCUAGAGAUAGAAAGUACUUCGGUACAUCGGUGACAGGUGGUGCAUGGUUGUCGUCAGCUCGUGUCGUGAGAUGUUGGGUUAAGUCCCGCAACGAGCGCAACCCCUAUUGUUAGUUGCCAUCAUUCAGUUGGGCACUCUAGCGAGACUGCCGGUAAUAAACCGGAGGAAGUGGGGAUGACGUCAAAUCAUCAUGCCCCUUAUGACCUGGGCUACACACGUGCUACAAUGGUUGGUACAACGAGUUGCGAGUCGGUGACGGCGAGCUAAUCUCUUAAAGCCAAUCUCAGUUCGGAUUGUAGGCUGCAACUCGCCUACAUGAAGUCGGAAUCGCUAGUAAUCGCGGAUCAGCACGCCGCGGUGAAUACGUUCCCGGGCCUU
rnacentral:rRNA from 1 species